UUCUUAUUAAGUCUUUCCACUUUUCUGUGGAAAGACUUAUUGUUUUUGUUCUGAUUAUUAAGUCUUUCCACUUUUCUGUGGAAAGACUUAUUGUUUUUGUUCUGAUUAUUAUUAUUAGGUCUUUCCACUUUUCUGUGGAAAGACCUAUUGUUUUUCUUCUGAUUAUUUUUUUUUUCUUCCGCCUAAUUUUGUUCUUGCGAUAAACAUUUGUUUCGCAAUAUGUCGCUUAGAUAUUUUGUAUAUGAUAUCGAACAGUUUAUGCGCUUUUGAAAUUUACCCUGCGUAAACAAAUAC
rnacentral:lncRNA from 1 species